rnacentral:lncRNA from 10 species
GGAUGAAUCGUGUGCUAAGGCAUGCCCCACGCAUGCCCACUGUGUCAGUGCAGGUGAAGUAUGAGGCAACCAGAGUUCCUGCAGCUCAAUCAUUAACUUGCGGAACGACCUAAGAGCCAAAGGAGUUAAUGGGCUUCAUCCAGAGCUGGAGGAAUGGAGCGAAGGCAGAGAGACAGGGAGAAAACACAUUGUCUGUUGUAGGAAGAAACGGUGGGAAGCAAAGCCACAAAGGGAGUGAAUUGUCAGCUUGCUGCUGACCCCCAACAGUCACUGGGAUUCCCAGGCUGGGGAGGUGUGUAGUCAACAUGUCAGACUCUGCGGUGGAAGUCAGCACAAGGGGGUGGAAUUAUUUUCCUGUGCCAUUGCUUGCUGACUUGGCAUUUAGUGUAAAUACCUCUUUCUUCCAAGAUACCUCUUCCAUAAUUACCAAGGAUGAUUCUAUUUUCAGGGCAAUAGCUGAGAGGAUGUAAUUGGAAACCACAGAGGCAGAUUAUUUUCUUUCUUUAAGAGGCUUUUUGCUAUUAUCAUAUAAUAUUUUGCUCCCACUCACUCAUACCAGGUGCUUCUCAUGCUGAAUUAGAAAAUACACUGGUUCUGAGAAUUUUUCUGCUCAGGUUAUACUGGUUAAAAUCUGUAAAAGUGAUAAAACAUGGUUAAACAUAGUAGUAUUAAUGUUCCCUUCAGCUUGACUAAACUUUAGACAGAUUUCUUCCUUACCAUAGGCUCCUGACCUCCCUUUUCUUAGAUCAUUUACUUUAGAGAACUUGAAUUUUUAAAUCCUUUCUCUGCCCCUUUGAGAUGUAAAUCUUCAACCCAGAAAUGUCUUUCUCAAGGAGUUGGAGCCACCUGUGUGAAGUGAAAUGUCAUCAUCAAGAAAGAUAGCACUUGUAUCUCUCAAUGUCUGGGAUGGUAGAAGCCUAACUUCAUUAAGCUCUAGUUAGCAAACAGUGAUGACUUAAUGACCUUGAAUAAACUCCUUCCUAACUUCCUCCAGUAGUUUUCCAGUAGCUCACCCCAGUGCUUAAAAACUGAGCCCUUUGUUUUAAUGGUGCUAAUUUCCAUCUCUCUCCCCUAUUGCAACAGUCUUAAAUAAAGUCUUCCUUGCCCAUUUAACUUGGAGUUUAGCUGAGUUCUAUACUUAGUCUCUCUCCCUUACUGAUAUAGCUCUAAUAAAAUAUGUCUUGCUAUUUUUAGCAAGUGUCAAGUGCAAACUCUCUUUAACACUGUACACCUGCAAUGUCACAUUUUCUUGCUGCACAAUAUAGAAAGGCUAGAUAUUAUUUCUUAAUUUAUAAAGCGAGCCCUUUUCUAAGCCAUCCAACUGCCAUGAGUUAAGGACAUUUAUUUUCCAAUAAAAAUUAUUUGCUCAUAAAAUAC